ACUAUUUACUUGUUAAUGUAUAUAUUUGCUGUAUUCUAUGUGUAUGUUGAUUUGCCAUUUUGACUACCUCUUUGUUGUGGGAGGAGUUAUAGACAUGUAAUUGUACUGAGCAUGUUCAGGCUCAAGACUCCAUUUUGUUGUCAGUAUGUGUUUGAUCUUCAAUGAAAGCAGGUGUAUGUGUCCAGACCUCAGUGGAGGUGGAUGCAUGUUGCUGUUUACAGACUUCAAUAGAUGCAUGUAUGCUUUAUGGACUUCAAUGCUGCUCUUGUCACCUGGACCAUAUUCAUUUUGCCAUCUUAAUAGGACUUAGCAGAAUUUGUGCUUCAAGAGCCCAGGGUCACUUCCACACCAUGCUGAAAAGUCAGAGGACUUUGUGGAUCCAUGGCUGACUUUUAAAGUGGACAAGUAAGUGGGCCAAGAUAUGUUGUUACAUUGUGCCUCCUUAAGUAGUGCAUUUAGUGUGAUUAUUUUUAAACUUUGCACUCUGUUCUGGAAAAAAAUUAAAACAACCACAAGUUAGAAAUAUAGAUUUUUUUAUUUUAAUUUACAAUAAGGCAAUAUGACAUACUUCUCAGACAUUAAGUGACAAAUAUACAUAUAGGCCAUUGCCAACACAGUUCGUGAGAGAAGUGCAUUGCGUUAUACAUUUGUUCACCUCCAGGUUUUUUUUCUUUGAACUUUUAGUCUUUUUUUUAAAGAACUUUCAAAAUCACCUGCCCAUUUCUCUUGUGCAUGGUGUCUGCAGAGGAAGAGACCGUAUUAAACAGUUUUCUAGACUUUUUAAAUAGCAUGUUUUGAAAAGAAGAGGUGGGUUUCUACAACAAGCAAACUCACUCUUUUCCUCUUCAAAGUUUGUUUGCAGGCUGUUUUAAUCCUUCAUUUUAACUGUCAUGGAUCAUCAACUAGACACUUUACAUUUUCCAGCUAAUUAGCCUAAGGCUCAGAUAUUUACUCUCUACCCAAAACACUUCAUCAACAACAAAGACAACAAAAUGCAUACCCAGUAAAACAAUCUUGGAAAUGUAAGACCAUCUACUCAAACAAUCAAACACAGCAGCCCAUCCAGAGUGACCAGUGAGGAAGAAUUGUUCA
rnacentral:lncRNA from 1 species